rnacentral:lncRNA from 1 species
CUGGUAGCUCUGUCCAUCAAAGUUUAGACAUAUGAGAAGAAAUCACCUAAAUUUUUUUGCUCUAUUAGAAUUUAAACUGUAGUCUCUCAUGGUCCAUUCUAGCUUUAUUGACCAUUAGGUCAAGCCUUUGGCAGUAGGAACCUAAGGCUUUAUUGAGUGUGGGGAUGAAAUGGAUUCAGAUGGAGCAAAAUGGAUAUUGAGAAUGCAUAUUGUAUCAUCUUGUGUUUAGUAUUACAAAAAGACAUCGCUCUGACGCUUAAAACGAUGAAGCAAUGCGAAGCUAGGAGUUAUCGCUUCACGGAUGAAGCAAUGCGCUCUAGAGAAGUGUGCGCUUCAAACGAUGAUGCGCAAAAUGGUCCCAACGAGAAGAGUUUGGUUCUUUAAGUUGCAAAACCGAGGAGUUGGAUUUAUAUCGGCAUUACUAAAUGUUGGAUAGUGAAAUUAGUUAUUGUAAUUACAAUUUGCAUAUUGUAGUACAAAAUUCUUAUAUGUUUGAUAAUUUUUUAUUUUCGGUAAAUUGUGCGCUUCGUUGCAUAGAAAUUUGCUCUUCACUUCUUACUUUUCACUUCAAGCUUUGUGAACCUUGUCGCUUUUUUGUACUUUUCGCCUUUAAAAAACACUGGGUGUUAAUGUAUAACUUCCAUCUUGCCCUUUAUGGUUCUAGCUAUUAUAUCUUUCGGCCAAAUGGGUAUCCGAUGUUUUCCCAUUAAAAGGCACCUCGGUAUAUAAGGAUUUUUAAUUUCUUGUAAACUCAAUGAUGAACUCCUCGUACAAUCUAAUAUAUGACAUGCUAUGUCUGCCCCCAAAAGGGGCUCGCACUUGUGGUCAACACCCUCAGAUUUACCAAUGGAUUGUAUCUCAUUUAAUCAACAAAAUGAUAGAUGAAUCUGCAAAAGAGAGGCAAAUUUUGUGGAUUCUCCCAACAUCAUAUGCUCAUAGCAUUGACCCGCUACCAAGUUUAACGUUUGGUCAAUAGAAUCGAAAAAUGGCACAUUUCACUGAAUCUGAAAGGUAUGGUAUGAACUAUGAAGUACUGCAUUAGGAAUUACAAUAGUCUAACUACUUCCCCAUAACCCUCCCUAACCUCCCCAAAACUCAAAAGCUGAAUCUUUUCCAUGGAACUGGAAACUCCCAGAUCCAAUGCAGUUAACUACUAUCUGAAAUUUUUUCCCAAUAUAAUUCAAAAUGUUGCGAACCUCUAGAGUCAGAGAAUCACAAAUUCUUAAGUACUGGUAUGAACUCGUCCAAACGGAACUAAACAGAAUUGAUGAUUCAUACAGCCGACCCCAACUAGUUUGGAAUUGAGGCAUAGUUUGUUGCAAUGAACAGUAGCUAAAGCACAAUUUCCCACACACCACAAUCCUUAGCACACACAAAGCUCAGAUUCUUAACUCACAACGUGUAAUGAUAUUGUUAACCAACUCAACAUAAGUAACUUCCCUGCAAACAAGAAUAUAUGUUGUUUCAUUAAUCUUUGAAUGCCAAGUCUAACUCUCCACCCAUUCCCCAAGAAAUGUUUUUUUUAUAAGGUCCUCCAUGCCUAUAUAGUUGUCAGAAUCAUUAAUCCAACUAAAAGAACCAAAGGUUAGUUAAUUAACACUAAUCAACUUAGGGUUAAUUACCAAUCUACCUUCUUGAUAUGCUAAUGAACUAAGGUCAAGAACUCCAAAAAGCAAAUUGAUUUGCUUAGUUGAACUUCCACAACAAAUUAGAGCACCUAGAAACUCAGUAUACCUAAAUUUGCUUAGAACCAUACUUCAUGAGUAAUUUUCCAUUAAAUACAGUAAGCUAAAGCAAAAUCUUUCCCAUACAUGAUAUACCAUAAUGCUUAACAAACCCAAAAAACAAAAAUCAUUGUUUUUUUCAAUUAAUAGCAACCAAUUAGCAAAGUCCAAAUUUCACAAGAAAAUAGAGAACUUUGAAAACUCAAACACAGACCUGAAUUGCCUUAGGACCAUACUUAAACAUUACACCGCGGAACUGCUUUUUCCCAGUAAUAGGACCAGCACCGGAGACACUGUCAGCACCGCCGGCUGCGGCGGCCGGAUUUUUAUUAGACAUCUUGACACUAGCGGAACGGCCACGAACUAUGCCGGAAAACCAAGAAGACGAUGAAGAAGAUGAAAAAGAAGCAGAAGUUGACAGAUCCAUUGAUUAAGCAAAAGGGUCUGGUUUCAACAAAAAUAAUUUCAUUUUUAGAUGUUUGGAUUUGGUAAAAAAGUCUCCAUUGAUCGAAGGUUUUAAGAUGAUAUAAGAACAGGCAGAACUGACACUACUGAGAUAG